CCGAACGCGCCUGGCGGCGCAGCGCGGGUAAGGCCUGCGGGACUCCGUGGCUGCGGUUGUGGCGCUGGUACGACGCCAGCCGCUCGCCC
rnacentral:tRNA from 1 species